rnacentral:rRNA from 1 species
UACGUCGGGUGCGAGCGUUAAUCGGAAUUACUGGGCGUAAAGCGUGCGCAGGCGGGUUUGUAAGGCAGGUGUGAAAUCCCCGGGCUUAACCUGGGAAUGGCAUUUGGGACUGCAAGGCUGGAGUGCGGCAGAGGAGACUGGAAUUCCUGGUGUAGCAGUGAAAUGCGUAGAUAUCAGGAGGAAUACCGAUGGCGAAGGCAGGUCUCUGGGCUGACACUGACGCUCAUGCACGAAAGCGUGGGGAGCAAACAGG